AUAUUACUCCCUCCAUCCGACAAUACUUGUCACCAAAAUGAAUAAAAAGAGAUGUAUCUAGAACUAAAAUACGUCUAGAUACAUCCCCUUUCAUCCAUUUUGAUGACAAGUAUUUCCGGACGGAGGGAGUACAAC
rnacentral:pre_miRNA from 1 species